GCCUUUGUGGUGUAAAUGUCAGCACACUUGGCGCAUAUUCAAGAGGUCCAAGGUUCAAGUCUCAGCGAAGGCA
rnacentral:tRNA from 1 species